rnacentral:rRNA from 1 species
CAGCGGGAGCUGCAGCUGGUGAGCGUCUGUGCCCUACUGGUUGCGUGCAAGUACAAAGAGAUUUGGUCUCCAGAGGUGAACAACGUCAUAUUGUUCUCCGACAACACAUAUACUAGGGAGCAGAUUCUAAGGAUGGAGAAGGCAAUCCUGAACAUGCUUGAGUGGAACCUGACAGUGCCCACACCUUACGUCUUCCUCGCGCGACUCGCCAAGGCCGCGUCCUCCUGA